GGUUCGGUGGUGUAGUUGGUUAUCACGUCAGUCUAACAUUCAUCUGAAUGUCGUGCACUGAAGGUCGGGAUUUCGAGCAUCCCCUGAAUCA
rnacentral:tRNA from 1 species